rnacentral:rRNA from 1 species
UACGUAGGGGGCAAGCGUUGUCCGGAUUCAUUGGGCGUAAAGAGCUCGUAGGCGGCUUGGCAAGUCGGGUGUGAAACCUCCAGCUCAACCUGGAGACGCCACCCGAUACUGCCAUGGCUAGAGUCCGGUAGGGGACCACGGAAUUCCUGGUGUAGCGGUGGAAAUGCGCAGAUAUCAGGAGGAACACCGAUGGCGAAGGCAGGUCUCUGGGCCACUACUGACGCUGAGAAGCGAAAGCAUGGGGGAGCGAACAGG